AGUGAACGCUGGCGGUAGGCCUAACACAUGCAAGUCGAACGGCAGCACAGUAAGAGCUUGCUCUUACGGGUGGCGAGUGGCGGACGGGUGAGGAAUACAUCUGAAUCUACUUUUUCGUGGGGGAUAACGUAGGGAAACUUACGCCAAUACCGCAUACGACCUACGGGUGAAAGCAGGGGAUCUUCGGACCUUGCGCGAUUGAAUGAGCCGAUGUCGGAUUAGCUAGUUGGCGGGGUAAAGGCCCACCAAGGCGACGAUCCGUAGCUGGUCUGAGAGGAUGAUCAGCCACACUGGAACUGAGACACGGUCCAGACUCCUACGGGAGGCAGCAGUGGGGAAUAUUGGACAAUGGGCGCAAGCCUGAUCCAGCCAUACCGCGUGGGUGAAGAAGGCCUUCGGGUUGUAAAGCCCUUUUGUUGGGAAAGAAAAGCAGCAGGUUAAUACCCCGCUGUUCUGACGGUACCCAAAGAAUAAGCACCGGCUAACUUCGUG
rnacentral:rRNA from 1 species